rnacentral:rRNA from 1 species
UUAAGCGACUAAGCGUACACGGUGGAUGCCCUGGCAGUCAGAGGCGAUGAAGGACGUGCUAAUCUGCGAAAAGCGUCGGUAAGGUGAUAUGAACCGUUAUAGCCGGCGAUGUCCGAAUGGGGAAACCCAGUGUGAUUCGUCACACUAUCGUUAACUGAAUACAUAGGUUAACGAGGCGAACCGGGGGAACUGAAACAUCUAAGUACCCCGAGGAAAAGAAAUCAACCGAGAUUCCCCCAGUAGCGGCGAGCGAACGGGGAGCAGCCCAGAGUCUGAAUCAGCUUGUGUGUUAGUGGAACGGUCUGGAAAGUCCGACGGUACAGGGUGAUAGUCCCGUACACCAAAAUGCACAGGUUGUGAACUCGAAGAGUAGGGCGGGACACGUGGUAUCCUGUCUGAAUAUGGGGGGACCAUCCUCCAAGGCUAAAUACUCCUGACUGACCGAUAGUGAACCAGUACCGUGAGGGAAAGGCGAAAAGAACCCCGGCGAGGGGAGUGAAAAAGAACCUGAAACCGUGUACGUACAAGCAGUGGGAGCACCUUCGGGUGUGACUGCGUACCUUUUGUAUAAUGGGUCAGCGACUUAUAUUCUGUAGCAAGGUUAACCGUAUAGGGGAGCCGCAGGGAAACCGAGUCUUAACUGGGCGUUAAGUUGCAGGGUAUAGACCCGAAACCCGGUGAUCUAGCCAUGGGCAGGUUGAAGGUUGGGUAACACUAACUGGAGGACCGAACCGACUAAUGUUGAAAAAUUAGCGGAUGACUUGUGGCUGGGGGUGAAAGGCCAAUCAAACCGGGAGAUAGCUGGUUCUCCCCGAAAGCUAUUUAGGUAGCGCCUCGUGAAUUCAUCUUCGGGGGUAGAGCACUGUUUCGGCUAGGGGGUCAUCCCGACUUACCAACCCGAUGCAAACUACGAAUACCGAAGAAUGUUAUCACGGGAGACACACGGCGGGUGCUAACGUCCGUCGUGAAGAGGGAAACAACCCAGACCGCCAGCUAAGGUCCCAAAGUCACAGUUAAGUGGGAAACGAUGUGGGAAGGCACAGACAGCCAGGAUGUUGGCUUAGAAGCAGCCAUCAUUUAAAGAAAGCGUAAUAGCUCACUGGUCGAGUCGGCCUGCGCGGAAGAUGUAACGGGGCUAAACUGUGCACCGAAGCUGCGGCAGCGACACUUAGGUGUUGUUGGGUAGGGGAGCGUUCUGUAAGCCUGAGAAGGUGGCCUGUGAGGGUUGCUGGAGGUAUCAGAAGUGCGAAUGCUGACAUAAGUAACGAUAAUGCGGGUGAAAAGCCCGCACGCCGGAAGACCAAGGGUUCCUGUCCAACGUUAAUCGGGGCAGGGUGAGUCGACCCCUAAGGCGAGGCCGAAAGGCGUAGUCGAUGGGAAACAGGUUAAUAUUCCUGUACUUGGUGUUACUGCGAAGGGGGGACGGAGAAGGCUAUGUUAGCCGGGCGACGGUUGUCCCGGUUUAAGCAUGUAGGCGGAGGUUCCAGGUAAAUCCGGUACCUUUUAACGCUGAGGUGUGAUGACGAGGCACUACGGUGCUGAAGUAACAAAUGCCCUGCUUCCAGGAAAAGCCUCUAAGCAUCAGGUAACAUUAAAUCGUACCCCAAACCGACACAGGUGGUCAGGUAGAGAAUACCAAGGCGCUUGAGAGAACUCGGGUGAAGGAACUAGGCAAAAUGGUGCCGUAACUUCGGGAGAAGGCACGCUGAUAUGUAGGUGAAGCCCCUGCGGGUGGAGCUGAAAUCAGUCGAAGAUACCAGCUGGCUGCAACUGUUUAUUAAAAACACAGCACUGUGCAAACACGAAAGUGGACGUAUACGGUGUGACGCCUGCCCGGUGCCGGAAGGUUAAUUGAUGGGGUUAUCCGUAAGGAGAAGCUCUUGAUCGAAGCCCCGGUAAACGGCGGCCGUAACUAUAACGGUCCUAAGGUAGCGAAAUUCCUUGUCGGGUAAGUUCCGACCUGCACGAAUGGCGUAAUGAUGGCCAGGCUGUCUCCACCCGAGACUCAGUGAAAUUGAACUCGCUGUGAAGAUGCAGUGUACCCGCGGCAAGACGGAAAGACCCCGUGAACCUUUACUAUAGCUUGACACUGAACAUUGAGCCUUGAUGUGUAGGAUAGGUGGGAGGCUUUGAAGCGUGGACGCCAGUCUGCGUGGAGCCAACCUUGAAAUACCACCCUUUAAUGUUUGAUGUUCUAACGUUGGCCCCUAAUCGGGGUUGCGGACAGUGUCUGGUGGGUAGUUUGACUGGGGCGGUCUCCUCCCAAAGAGUAACGGAGGAGCACGAAGGUUAGCUAAUCCUGGUCGGACAUCAGGAGGUUAGUGCAAUGGCAUAAGCUAGCUUGACUGCGAGCGUGACGGCGCGAGCAGGUGCGAAAGCAGGUCAUAGUGAUCCGGUGGUUCUGAAUGGAAGGGCCAUCGCUCAACGGAUAAAAGGUACUCCGGGGAUAACAGGCUGAUACCGCCCAAGAGUUCAUAUCGACGGCGGUGUUUGGCACCUCGAUGUCGGCUCAUCACAUCCUGGGGCUGAAGUAGGUCCCAAGGGUAUGGCUGUUCGCCAUUUAAAGUGGUACGCGAGCUGGGUUUAGAACGUCGUGAGACAGUUCGGUCCCUAUCUGCCGUGGGCGCUGGAGAAUUGAGGGGGGCUGCUCCUAGUACGAGAGGACCGGAGUGGACGCAUCACUGGUGUUCGGGUUGUCAUGCCAAUGGCAUUGCCCGGUAGCUAAAUGCGGAAGAGAUAAGUGCUGAAAGCAUCUAAGCACGAAACUUGCCCCGAGAUGAGUUCUCCCUGAGACUUUAAGUCUCCUGAAGGAACGUUAAAGACGAUGACGUUGAUAGGUCGGGUGUGUAAGCGUAGCGAUACGUUGAGCUAACCGAUACUAAUGAACCGUGAGGCUUAACCU